rnacentral:rRNA from 1 species
GUGCCAGCCGCUGCGGUAAUACGAAGGGGCUAGCGUUGCUCGGAAUGACUGGGCGUAAAGGGCGUGUAGGCGGUUUGUACAGUCAGAUGUGAAAUCCCCGGGCUUAACCUGGGAGCUGCAUUUGAUACGUGCAGACUAGAGUGUGAGAGAGGGUUGUGGAAUUCUCAGUGUAGAGGUGAAAUUCGUAGAUAUUGGGAAGAACACCGGUGGCGAAGGCGGCAACCUGGCUCAUUACUGACGCUGAGGCGCGAAAGCGUGGGAGCAAACAGGAUUAGAUACCCUGGUAGUCCACGCUGUAAACGAUAGUGUGCGUGGAUGUCGGGUG